AGAAAAUUUCCUUCGGGGAAUGAGUAAAGUGGCGCAAGGGUGAGUAACACGUGAGUAAUCUGCCUUCGUAUUUGGGAUAACUUGACGAAAGUUAAGCUAAUACCGGAUAAGACCACGUUUCACAAGAAAUGCGGUCAAAGGGGUCUCAAACCCCGUUUGAAGAUGAGUUCGCGUACCAUUAGCUUGUUGGUGAGAUAACAGCUCACCAAGGCGACGAUGGUUAGCCGGCCUGAGAGGGUGAUCGGCCACACUGGAACUGAGACACGGUCCAGACUCCUACGGGAGGCAGCAGUGGGGAAUUUUGCGCAAUGGGCGAAAGCCUGACGCAGCAACGCCGCGUGAGCGAUGAAGGCCUUCGGGUCGUAAAGCUCUGUCAAGUGGGAAGAACACAAUGACGGUACCACUAGAGGAAGCCCCGGCUAACUUCGUGCCAGCAGCCGCGGUAAUACGAAGGGGGCAAGCGUUGUUCGGAAUUAUUGGGCGUAAAGCGUGUGUAGGUGGUUGUUCAAGUCAGACGUGUAAGCCCUCGGCUCAACCGAGGAAUUGCGUUUGAAACUGAUCGACUUGAGUACAGGAGAGGAAAGCGGAAUUCCCAGUGUAGCGGUGAA
rnacentral:rRNA from 1 species